CGAGAUGAGUUCUCCCUGAGACUUUAAGUCUCCUGAAGGAACGUUGAAGACGACGACGUUGAUAGGCCGGGUGUGUAAGCGCAGCGAUGCGUUGAGCUAACCGGUACUAAUGAACCGUGAGGCUUAACCUU
rnacentral:rRNA from 2 species